UUUAAAAAAAAAAAAAAAAAAAAGAUAAAAACUCAACUCUUGCAAUCCGGAUUAGCUCCAAAUUCUAUCAAAAGUCCUCGUGAAUCAAGAGAGCUUCUAUCCCAGCUGAUUCCUCCAUUACCAAUUGUCAUGAACACUAAUGGAGAUGAGAUCCACUUUGCACAAAUAAAGUUGGUUGAAGUUCUCCUUUUCUUUGUCCAUGAACACCUAAAUGUUGCUCAAUUCUUAAUUAAAAAAUCUGGCCAUGGGCUACAGCCAAUCUCUAUUCCUUAACAUGGUUCCGCCACCUUAAGAUACCAUGGUUGGUCUUCAAGACAUCACCCACUGACAUAAUAUGACAUAUCUUCAUACAUAAAACAACAAACUGAUAUGAUGCACUCAACCUUCAAAACAUGACUAUAUCCUCAAGAUGAGACAACCAAUCACUAAAAUAUGGCUACAUUUCUUGAGAUAACACAAACAAUCUCCAUCACUUAGAAUUACAAUAGAUAAAAAAUAAAGAAAAGUAGUUAGAAGUGGUAAAACUAUACAUUAGUGGUUGACUAUAUAUAUAUAUCAGCCCGAUUGGAAUUGGAAGUUCUAGUUUGUGGCUGGAAAUGCCCUAAACCGACCACAUAGGUCUGGUUCAAAAACUGGUCUGGACUGUUCAGAAAUGGAGGUUUCAUUUCCAGCCAGUUCAAAGACAGUGAGGUUUCAGUUCCAAGUUUGAUAUAAUCCAACGGUUGACAGUUUUU
rnacentral:misc_RNA from 1 species